UACAGAGGGGGGCAAGCGUUGUUCGGAAUUACUGGGCGUAAAGGGCGCGUAGGCGGCCCGCUAAGUCGAACGUGAAAUCCCCGAGCUCAACUCGGGAACUGCGUCCGAUACUGGUGGGCUUGAAUCCGGGAGAGGGAUGCGGAAUUCCAGGUGUAGCGGUGAAAUGCGUAGAUAUCUGGAGGAACAUCGGUGGCGAAGGCGGCAUCCUGGACCGGUAUUGACGCUGAGGCGCGAAAGCCAGGGGAGCAAAGCGGG
rnacentral:rRNA from 1 species